rnacentral:lncRNA from 1 species
GUUAGGAUGGCCUUCAAGUGUGAUGGGCCUUUGGGGACCGAAAAGGUGAGGCCGCAGGACCACAAACCAGCCAUUUGCCACGGCCAUUUGCAGGAUCUUCAAAUUCACUUAAAGUUCUUCCAUUAUUCAAGUGGGGAUGUAAUUUGAGCCCCACUUAAUCACAUAGUUGCUUAAAGUUUAGGCAAAUUGCCAACGCAGGGUUAUUGAAUGAUCUAUGGUAAAUCAAGAAUCACCAGCCUCACUCAAAACGCCUUCAUAUCGGCAGGUAUGCAAUUUGAUUUCCGGGAAGUUAAUAUAGUUGCUUGACGUCGAAGCGAACUGCCUGUAUCGGCAUGCGCGACCCUCCAGAUUCUAUGUGCUACUGGCCCUGAUGGCUCGUAAAUCACUCAAAUCCUCAUCACUUCAUUGGAAUUUUUCGAGCUGAUUUUAUUCCACCGACACAUUUGAGUGACUUUGUGAGCAUCAAUAUGGGCAACUAUGCGUUUAACCACUAGCUUCCUAAUACUUCUGUCAUGCUGGGGUUUGACCAUGGAAGAACUACAACCGACCCCAAAUACAUAUCUUUACUCUGAUGUAGAUGCUUGCACAAGAUAUAACUUCUUGCCGAUCAAUGAAAAAAAUUUCCGGGAAGCCAUUCUUUUCUUCAAUCUUUGCCAGCAGCUCAUACAUGUUCUUCCAGGAGAACAACGUAAAGACUAUGCUAGAUACCUUAGACAUGAGCUUAUCAUGACACGAAAUGAAUUCAAAUCAAAACACGAAAACAAAGAUAUACACAUGGCUUGA